UUUCAAAGCUUUUCUGGCUUUUAAAACUCCUAGGCACAAUUUUCCUUCCUCAUUCUCAGAAAAUCUUUUGGUUGUGAACAGAAUUGAAAGCAUUCAGCCAUUUAGUGUUUUUUCCCCUUCACUUUGCAUUGAUUUUCCCUCUUUCAUUCUCCAUCUUUACCAAUUCUAUUUCUUUAUCAGGAAGACAACUAAUUUUUUUUCACUUAGCUAAGGUUAAUUCUUCCAUCUUCUGCAUGAUAGUAUAAAUCAUUCCAUCUGUCUAUUUUUCAGUUUGUUUGUAAUUUUUUUUGCCUGCAGCAAAUGUGAUUAAAUUAGCUAUGUUCAAACAAAACAAAACAUAGCAUAACAAAAACCUCCUUUAACUGUUUUAUAUAGUUUGGCUGUGUCUCCACCCAAAUCUCAUCUUGAAUUGUAGUUCCCAUAAUCCCCAAGUGUCAUGGGAGGGUCCUGGUGGGAAGCGAUUGGAUCAUGGGGCAGUUUCCUAUGCUGUUCUUGUGAUAGUGAGUGAUUUACCGCAAGAUCUGAUGGUUUUAUAAAUGUCCAGCAGUUCCCCUACUGGCACACUUUCUCUUUCCUGCUGCCCUGUGAAGAGGAGCUUUCCACCAUGAUUGUAAGUUUCCUGGGGCCUCCUCAGCCAUGCAGAAAUAUUGUGACAGCCACAAGCUUAGAGCUGAUUCAUCGUAGCUUUCCUCUUCAGCACCUGAAAUAGUGUCAGGAGCACUGCAGGCACUCCAUGAAUGUGUGUUGGACUUAAUUGAAUUCCACUGCAACUCUAAUCAACAUUCACUGUAGGGAACAGUGAUGGAAACAUAAUGGACUUCUUCUCCUCGGAACAACAUGUCACUAGCCAGUCCUUGAAGCACACUUCCUGAAUCACACCUGGAUGAAUGCAGCCAAAGGGAAGCAGAUGAAAGCAACCAAAGGGCUUUUCUAAGUGGCAAAGGCAGAUGAGGAAGGGCAAGGCUGUGGUUGUGCUCAUGGCACUAGAGCAGCUCCUUCAGCGCCUGAGAGCUGCCAGAAGACAGGUGUAGAAUUACCAGCUCUAGUGAACUUCAGCUUGCUGGACUGCCUCCUGCUUUGGGACCUGGCUGCUCAGAUGAUUAUUUUCUCCAUCCACUUUUGGCUCAAUGAAGACAGAUACUUACAAAUGAUAAGUGCACUUGGCAACAUCCCAAAUAAUGACUCUUCAACCCUUGGAGACUGCCUUGCCUACACUUGAUUUUUGGAUUUUGAAAUUUAAAUUGGGUAGCCAACAUGGUUCAUUUUCCAGAUACAUAAUGAUAAAAAUUACACACUGCAUAUAGACAAAUUUGUCAUUAACAAACCAAUUUUAUGAGCAUUGUUUCAUUUAAUUUGCAAAAUUCCCUUGGGAUGCUGGGAAGGAAUAUAUAUUUUUUAUCGUAUUUUGGUCAACAGCAUACUGCUUCCUUUUGAUGACCAUGUAUUCUAGAGUCAAAAGAAUGUAAAUCUGAAGUUCAUCUUAGCCAGUUGCUAGUGUGUUCCUUUGGGGAUACUACUAUACAAUCUUGUUCUGUUCCUUUAGAAAAUAGCUACUCACAAUAUUAAUUACCCAUUGGGAUGUUAUGAGGGUAAAAUUAAUAAAGACAGUCCUCUGGCUCACUUGGAUUCUUUGAGAGAGUAGAAGCACUAGUGAUCAUAAAAGGAAAUGAACUUUGAGGGAAAAGCUAUUUUAAAGACUUAUUCUAAUUUUACAAACCUGGGUACAUCACAGACCAUUCCGGGUGGCAUUUUCAUUAUUUGAGAAAAUGGGGCUGGUCCUUACUGUCAUUAUUUGCAUGAAGAUUAAAUGAUACUACAAAUUUAAAAGCACAGUAUGUAGUAUGAAGUUGUACUUGCAAGAUUCAUUCAAUAAAUAUGUUUCAUUUAUCUUUCAAUAAGCCUUCUUUUAUUUUUCAUCUGUAAAAUGGGGAUUAAAAAAUGCCUUGCCUCUCUGUUUCAUGUUUUUUUUUAACCUCUCAGGUAAACUAGACAAGUAAUAUCCCUUAAUAAAAUUUUAAAGUGC
rnacentral:lncRNA from 1 species